GGUCUUGACAUACCGAUGACAGGUCUAGAGAUAGAUUUUCCCUUUUAGGGCAUCGGAUACAGGUGGUGCAUGGUUGUCGUCAGCUCGUGUCGUGAGAUGUUGGGUUAAGUCCCGCAACGAGCGCAACCCCUAUUGUUAGUUGCCAUCAUUAAGUUGGGCACUCUAGCGAGACUGCCAGUAAUAAACUGGAGGAAGGUGGGGAUGACGUCAAAUCAUCAUGCCCCUUAUGACCUGGGCUACACACGUGCUACAAUGGGAAGUACAACGAGUUGCGAGGCGGUGACGCCAAGCUAAUCUCUUAAAAGCUUCUCUCAGUUCGGAUUGUAGGCUGCAACUCGCCUACAUGAAGUCGGAAUCGCUAGUAAUCGCGGAUCAGCACGCCGCGGUGAAUACGUUCCCGGGCCUUGUACACACCGCCCGUCACACCACGAGAGUUUGUAACACCCGAAGUCGGUGAGGUAACCGUAAGGAGCCAACCGCCUAAGGUGGGAUAGAUGAUUGGGGUGAAGUCGUAACAAGGUAAGCGUAGAUGA
rnacentral:rRNA from 1 species